GCAGGCUAGGAUCCACAGCUGAGCAAGCAGGAGUGGUUUGGAGUUCUGUGCUGUGACCUCUGCUGAAAGGAACUGUGUGGAGAGAGUGGAAGAUCUUGGAAACAGCGACAUGGAUGCUGUGACAUGAAGAUGUGCAUGUGAGCUUCACUAGGGAAGAGUGGGCUUUGCUGGAUCCUUCCCAGAAGAGUCUCUACAAAGAUGUGAUAGUAGAAACCUACAGGAACCUCACUGCUAUAGGAUAAAAAUGGGAAGGCAAUUAUAUUGAAGAAUAUCAUCAAUCUUCCAGAAGACAUGGAAGGU